UACGUAGGUGGCAAGCGUUGUCCGGAAUGAUUGGGCGUAAAGGGCGCGCAGGCGGCUGUGUAAGUCUGUCCAGAAAGUGCGGGGCUAAACCCCGUGAGAGGAUGGAAACUGGACAGCUGAGAGUGUCGGAGAGGAAAGCGGAAUUCCUAGUGUAGCGGUGAAAUGCGUAGAUAUUAGGAGGAACACCGGUGGCGAAAGCGGCUUUCUGGACGACAACUGACGCUGAGGCGCGAAAGCCAGGGGAGCAAACGGG
rnacentral:rRNA from 2 species